GUCCAGAUGCCCUACACAUUUUUGCCAGAAAACCCCGUCAGAGGAGGAAUCCAGCAGCGGUAUUUGGAUAAAAGUGGUGCUUGGGAUUAUCUGGGCUCU
rnacentral:SRP_RNA from 2 species